rnacentral:rRNA from 1 species
UGAGGAAUAUUGGUCAAUGGGCGCAAGCCUGAACCAGCCAUGCCGCGUGCAGGAAGACGGUCCUAUGGAUUGUAAACUGCUUUUAUUUGGGAAUAAACCUCUUUACGUGUAGAGAGCUGAAGGUACCAAAUGAAUAAGCACCGGCUAACUCCGUGCCAGCAGCCGCGGUAAUACGGAGGGUGCAAGCGUUAUCCGGAAUCAUUGGGUUUAAAGGGUCCGCAGGCGGCCUUAUAAGUCAGUGGUGAAAGCCUACAGCUCAACUGUAGAACUGCCAUUGGUACUGUAAGACUUGAAUUCGCUCGAAGUAAUCGUAAUAUGACGUGUAGCGGUGAAAUGCUUAGAUAGGUCAUAGAACACCGAGAGCGAAGGCAGCUCACUAGUUCUGAAUUGGCGCUCAGGGACGAAAGCGUGGGGAGCAAACA